AUCUAUAUGGCAGAUCAGUGCAUUAAGUUUAAGCCUUAAAAACAAAAAUACACUCCAUUGAAA
rnacentral:tRNA from 1 species